rnacentral:lncRNA from 1 species
GUCCCAGGCAUCCCAGCUGCUCCUCCUGGGGAAGUCCUCAGGGCUUAGUCUGACAGAGUAACAUUUUCAAAAGCAAAUAGUUUACUUGGGAACUGAAAUCCUUAUUUUUAAAAGUAGGUCUAGAUAUAGGUCUCUUUGUGCACCACCAGAAAUGUGCCACUCAGACGCUGCAGAAAUAUGCAGGGCACAAUAAUUCCAAUUUUACAAAAUAGAGUAAAGAUAUUCAGAUAUUUGUCCACUGGAUGCUGGAUGCCUAUACAUGGCAUUAAAUACUGGAUAGAGCACAGAUAAUGCCCUAGCAGUGGGUUGCAGUACCUGCACCUCCACAAUCCUAACAACCAUCACUUUUUGGUUUAAUCCCUGGUCAAAGAGAUCUUGUUUUCCUAUCUGAAAAGCACCAGAAUGGACGGAAGACACCAACACCUGAACCACGUUCCUGUCCUAGGGUGUCCACAGUCAUUUGGCAGGGAGAGGUAGAACUGCACUGGAUUCCUCCCCACCUUAAGGACCCGAGAGACUUCCAAGCAUCGCUUGCUCCCAGUGACCCAGAAUCUGCAGAGGUACUUGGGGGGUUAAUGAUAGAUUUUCUUUAAUUGCCAUCCAGCAGAUGAAAGACAGAUGUUUACUUUUAAACCACUUUCAGACCAGAGUCAAAAGCACUUUGAAAUCUGUAUUUCUGUGUCUUGAAGCAAAAGGAAAAAAAAACCUCUUUAGUCAAUGCUAAAUCUAUUCUGUUUUUGAGAGAUUGAACUUAACCACAGAAAACAAAAAUGUAAAGUUGCAUAGCUCUUUUCUGUUGCUUCUUUCAGUGUCACAGUGGUUAAAUCUGCAAGUUUUCUAAACUUUUACCAGUUCAGUUCAAAUAUCAAAAUCUGUUCAGCAUUUUUUUUUUCUGCCUUGUACAUCAUUUGUGAUAAAAACGUGAGAAUAAAGUCAGUUCUCUAUUUUUCUAAGAUCAUGUAGCACAAUGCAGGAAAAAGAUUUCAUUUAUUCUUCAAGAGCACUACUGAGCAUCUUAUCCCUCAGAAAAAAAUAGGGUUGUCUUUUUUUGUGUGUUAACAAACUCCUCAUAAUCAAAAAAUAAAGCUGAGAAAAAAUCUGCUAUUGUCUUAACUGACUGCUAUGUCUUUGGGCAGGACUGACUUUUUGGUUAUUUUUUAUGUCAUAACUCCUUUAGCUAUUUUGGGCUGCAUAAAGAAAAAGGUAAGGAGACAACUAUAAAAAUCUUUUUAAUAAUCUUUUCUGAACUUCUCUGUGUUUCAGAAACAGUUUUUGUUAUUUAGUAUGUGAAAUUAAAUCAGCUAGGAUGGGACUUGUGUAUCAAGAACAUUUCCUUUAACAAACCCCUGGAAACUGGCUGUCAUUACUCUUGCUUCUCUUUCGUCCCAGAUCAAAUGAUUGUGUCAACUGCUUGUUUUGUUUAGCAGUCCCAGUCAGAGAGAUAUGGCUAAUCACAGUAUCAUUUUCUAAUGUUCACUGGAAGGAAAUCUCAAAUUGUUCUUGAGAACUUAAAUAUUAGGCUUAUUAUAAGUCUGAUUAAACAGGGGCACCAGUUCCUUGAGGCAGGAUGAAUACAGCUCUUGGGGAAUGAAAAGAAAAACUAUAGAAGUAUCUACAACAAAACAAAACAAAACAAAACAAAACAAAACAAAACAAAACAGGCAAACAAAAAAACUAUCAAAAUAUUAUUGAUCUAUUCUGUUCACAGAUUAUUGCAGGAGUCUGUGAUCUUCCUGAAUGUAUGGCUUUUCUCUGUUUUCGUUAAUUUUCCUAUCAAUUUCUUCUUUAGUAGUUUAUAAAAGUUCAACAUUUAAAAGAAACUGGCAA